UACGUAGGGUGCAAGCGUUAAUCGGAAUACUGGGCGUAAAGCGUGCGCAGGCGGUUGUGCAAGACAGGUGUGAAAUCCCCGGGCUUAACCUGGGAACUGCAUUUGUGACUGCAUCGCUGGAGUGCGGCAGAGGGGAUGGAAUUCCGCGUGUAGCAGUGAAAUGCGUAGAUAUGCGGAGGAACACCGAUGGCGAAGGCAAUCCCCUGGGCCUGCACUGACGCUCAUGCACGAAAGCGUGGGAGCAAACAGG
rnacentral:rRNA from 1 species